rnacentral:tRNA from 1 species
GGUGGGAUGCCAGAGCGGUCGAAUGGGCUUGUUUGGAGUACAAGUGUGUCGGAAACGGCACCCUGGGUUCGAAUCCCAGUCCCACCGCCA